GAUGAACGCUAGCGACAGGCUUAACACAUGCAAGUCGAGGGGCAGCAUAAAAGUAGCAAUACUUUGGUGGCGACCGGCGCACGGGUGAGUAACGCGUAUGCAACCUACCUAUCAGAGGGGAAUAACCCGGCGAAAGUCGGACUAAUACCGCAUAAAACAGGGGCACCGCAUGGUGAUAUUUGUUAAAGAGAUUCGCUGAUAGAUGGGCAUGCGUUCCAUUAGGUAGUUGGUGAGGUAACGGCUCACCAAGCCGACGAUGGAUAGGGGAACUGAGAGGUUGGUCCCCCACACUGGUACUGAGACACGGACCAGACUCCUACGGGAGGCAGCAGUGAGGAAUAUUGGUCAAUGGGCGGGAGCCUGAACCAGCCAAGUCGCGUGAAGGAAGAAGGAUCUAUGGUUCGUAAACUUCUUUUGCAGGGGAAUAAAGUGCAGGACGUGUCCUGUUUUGUAUGUACCCUGAGAAUAAGGAUCGGCUAACUCCGUGCCAGCCGCCGCAGUAACAC
rnacentral:rRNA from 1 species